UACGUAGGGAGCAAGCGUUGUCCGGAAUCAUUGGGCGUAAAGCGCGUGUAGGCGGUUUCCUAAGUCUGUUGUGAAAGUCGGAGGCUCAACCUUCGAAAGCCGAUGGAUACUGUGUGACUUGAGUACGGAAGAGGCGAGUGGAAUUCCUGGUGUAGCGGUGAAAUGCGCAGAUAUCAGGAGGAACACCAACGGCGAAGGCAGCUCUCUGGGACGUUACUGACGCUGAGACGCGAAAGCGUGGGGAGCAAACAGG
rnacentral:rRNA from 1 species